CUCGUACACGUAAGCAAUAAUGGGCCUAACAGUAUCCUGAGUACCGCGAGGUCGGAGACGCCUUGUGGGGAANCUGCCGGCACCCAUCCGGUAAGGCUAAAUACUCCCGAGAGACCGAUAGUGGACCAGUACCGUGAGGGGAAAGGUGAAAAAGAACCCCGAACAGGGGGAGUGAAAUAGAACCUGAAACCGUGUACUUACAAGCGGUCGGAGCAGCGUAUGCUGUGACGGCGUGCCUUUGCAUAAUGAGCCUACGAGUUACUCUUCACUGGCAAGGUUAAGUGCUUCAGGCACGGAUCCGAAGCGAAAGCGAGUCUGAACAGGGCGCACAGUCAGUGGAGGUAGACGCGAAACCUUGUGAUCUACCCUUGGGCAGGUUGAAGUUGCGGUAACACGUAAUGGAGGACCGAACCGAUAAACGUUGAAAAGUUUCCGGAUGACCUGAGGGUAGGGGUGAAAGGCUAAUCAAACUGGGAAAUAGCUCGUACUCCCCGAAAUGUUUUUAGGAACAGCGUCGGCAUCGAGUUAUACAGAGGUAGAGCUACUGAUUGGGUGCGGGGGAGUCAAAUCCUACCAAAUCCAGACAAACUCCGAAUGCUGUAUAAUAUGGCCGGCAGUGAGGCUAUGGGUGCUAAGGUCCAUGGCCGAGAGGGAAAGAACCCAGACCAUCAGCUAAGGUCCCCAAGUUACAGUUAAGUUGAACUAACGAGGUGCGAUUGCAUAGACAGCUAGGAUGUUGGCUUGGAAGCAGCCAUUCAUUUAAAGAGUGCGUAACAGCUCACUAGUCGAGCGAUCGUGCAUGGAUAAUAAACGGGCAUCAAACUGUACACGAAGCUAUGGGAUUGAAAUAUAUCGGUAGGGGAGCAUUCCGGCGGCGGCGAAGCUGUGGCGCGAGCCAGGGUGGAGCUUCCGGAAAAGCAAAUGUAGGCAUAAGUAACGAUAAGGCGGGAGAGAAACCCGCCCACCGAAAGGAUAAGGUUUCCUGAUCAACGCUAAUCGGAUCAGGGUUAGUCGAGGCCUAAGGCGAACCCGAAGGGGGUAGUCGAUGGACAACGGGUUAAUAUUCCCGUACCUUUUAUAGUUGCGAUGUGGGGACGGAGUAGUGGAACUGCCGCGGUCUGACGGAAUAGAUCGUUGAAGACGGUAGGUAUACGCACGGUAGGCAAAUCCGCCGUGGGUGCCGAAAGUCGAUAGUACCGCGAGCCUUCGGGCAAGUGGAUAGCGCAGGUAAUCAGACUUCCAAGAAAAACCGCUAAGCUCCAGGCUAUAAAAGCUCGUACCGCAAACCGACACAGGUAUCCGGGAUGAGAAUUCUAAGGUGCUCGAGUGAAUCAUGGCUAAGGAACUCGGCAAAAUGGCCCUGUAACUUCGGGAGAAGGGGC
rnacentral:ncRNA from 1 species